CUCAGCUUGACAGAAGACAGAAAGGCAGCAAGUCACCGGGGAAAGAGUGUGAACCUGGAGUCAGCUAGGGCUGGGUUUAACCCAGUGCUGCCACUUCUUAGCUGAGUAACCCCAGGUACUGCUGCUGAUGACUCAUGCUUGGUAAGUCAACAUUCCACUGUCAUCGAGCACAGGAGACGGUUAAAGAGCCUAAUCAGAUGAGGAAACUGAGGCACAGAGAGUGACUCCACUGGCCCUCAGCCUUUCCCUUCCACGACCUCAGCCUGGAACUUGUCAUUGCCAACAACUGCAUCCUGUUUCAAGUGCCCCUAAGAAGCCCACUGCCUCCCUUCUCUUCCCCCCAGUCCUCUCGCUCACCCAGAACCUUCUGCAGCCUCACUUCUGUCCAUACGAGGGUAGCGUUCUUCGUUUUCAUCACGCUCCCCACACACGCUCAGCCCCCUGGCCCCUCGCCCACGUGGAAUUCUUGUCUGACACGAUCCAACCCUGGGCACGUCCAACCUCUUGCCCAUCCCAUGGCUGCAGCCUCCCUUGAGGAAGUGCUCGUCGCGCAGCCGGGUGCCACAGGCGUGGCCAUGGCUCCCUGACACCCUUAGCACCUCUGCCCGUGGGCCGCUCCCCCUGCUGUCCGCAAGCCUCUCACCCCAGCCUCCACCCUGUGCACCACCCUCUCUCAGUUCCGGCGGGGUCUUCCUUCCUGGCUCUGGAAACAGCAGCAACCAGAAGACACCUGUCCAGGCUGGGCCACCACAUCCACCCGUCCCCGGCUGUCCUAGCUGCGUUCCCCCCACCCCACCACAGCCUGUGCCCCCUUCCCACGGCAUCCCGCACGCUGUGAUUUCUCCCAUCUCAGAAAUCCCUCUAUUGACGCCACCUUACCUCCAGCUGCCAUCAGUCCUCUGCUCUUUCUGAAGGCAAAGCCCCUCCCAAGUCAUCCACUUGCCGUCUCCAAUUGUUCCCCUUCCCUGUCAGCCUCCCCGACAGUUCUCACCCACCCGGCUCCACAGUGUCCACCUCAAGGCCACUGAAGAUUUUCACAUCCCUCAGUCGGGGGGUCAGUGCUCAGACCCCCGAGGACGUGGCUCUUGGCGUCCUGGCUCCGACAGACUCCCCAGCCCUCUCCUCGUCCCGCAUCGCUGCUCCUGGCCGUCCGCUUUGCUGGCUCAUCCUCCUCUCUCAGCCUCCAAACCCUGGAGUUCUUGGGGUGUCGUUAGUGGAAUUUCUCUCUUCUACAUCCGCUCACUCCUUGGGAAUCUACCCAGUUUCAAAGCUUCAAACAUCAAUAAUACUCUGACGAGCCCCAGAGCUCAUCUAUCCCCAGCCCGGACCACCCCAAGCUCCAGAUGCUGCACCCAACUCGCUACUGGAUGUUGCCACUCGGAUGGCUAGUAGGCGUCUCCUAGGUAAACACACCCACGACAGCUCCUGACCUCCCCA
rnacentral:lncRNA from 1 species